GGAUCCAGACUUUGAUUAUGGCUCAGGAUGAACGCUAGCUACAGGCUUAACACAUGCAAGUCGAGGGGCAGCAUGUCGGUUGCUUGCAACCGACGAUGGCGACCGGCGCACGGGUGAGUAACGCGUAUCCAACCUACCCUUGUCCAUCGGAUAACCCGUCGAAAGGCGGCCUAACACGAUAUGCGGUUCGCAGCAGGCAUCUAACGUGAACGAAAUGUAAAGGAGAAGGAUGGGGAUGCGUCUGAUUAGCUUGUUGGCGGGGUAACGGCCCACCAAGGCGACGAUCAGUAGGGGUUCUGAGAGGAAGGUCCCCCACAUUGGAACUGAGACACGGUCCAAACUCCUACGGGAGGCAGCAGUGAGGAAUAUUGGUCAAUGGACGAGAGUCUGAACCAGCCAAGUAGCGUGCAGGAUGACGGCCCUAUGGGUUGUAAACUGCUUUUAUAGGGGGAUAAAGUGUGCCACGUGUGGCAUAUUGCAGGUACCCUAUGAAUAAGGACCGGCUAAUUCCGUGCCAGCAGCCGCGGUAAUACGGAAGGUCCGGGCGUUAUCCGGAUUUAUUGGGUUUAAAGGGAGCGUAGGCCGUCUUAUAAGCGUGUUGUGAAAUGUCGGGGCUCAACCUGGGCAUUGCAGCGCGAACUGUGAGACUUGAGUGCGCAGGAAGUAGGCGGAAUUCGUCGUGUAGCGGUGAAAUGCUUAGAUAUGACGAAGAACUCCGAUUGCGAAGGCAGCCUGCUGUAGCGCAACUGACGCUGAAGCUCGAAAGCGUGGGUAUCGAACAGGAUUAGAUACCCUGGUAGUCCACGCGGUAAACGAUGGAUGCUCGCUGUUUGCGUCUGACGUAAGCGGCCAAGCGAAAGCGUUAAGGAUCCCACCUGGGGAGUACGCCGGCAACGGUG
rnacentral:rRNA from 1 species